UUUCUCUAACACCAGUACUUUUACUUGUAACAGAGUAAUAUUUUAGCAAUGUAACAGUACUUGUACUUGAGUACAGAUUUUCAGUACUCUUUCCGCCUGUUAUGCACACAACACCUAAUUAGGCUCAUUCAUAAUGAAGCCAGCGGAGCAGUUAACGUUUGUUAAUUCUCUCAAUUUACGAAUUUUACUGUAUUUAAUUGUUAUUUGGUCAGGCAGUUCUUAGGACAUCUAUAAGGGGCCUGUAUGCAAAGGCCUUGUUUCGCGCUCAAAACGUUAGCAGUCCAUUCGGAAAGCACUGCUGCUAGCUGUGACUUCAAGGAGAACUUCUAUCAGACAUUCACAAAUUGAGGUGCACUGAAGAGUAAUGCAAUGACUCAAAAUGUGAAGUGGAAAUGGCGCUGUUGAAGUGGUUUACCGGCGCACGUGACCGUGGAGGGGAGAGGGCUGCAAGAGCCCAAAGAGAAAAAGGAGCGUCCCCCACACAGACGCUGAAAAGACUCUUGCCAUCCCACUCCUUUUCAACUCCGUUCCACUUUUUCAAGGAGGCUUUUGCUAUCUUCUGCCUGACCACGCCCACCUCACCUGUUGCCUAUAAAUUGAUUGUGAACCCUUUGGCUCAUUCUUUGCUCACUCUGCUGGCACUCCAAUGCAACCUGUCACACAGUAACUGCAAUGAAUCCACGUCACUCUGAAUGAUAAAUAAAAUACCACUGGUGCUGCAUUGAA